rnacentral:rRNA from 1 species
UACGGAGGGCGCAAGCGUUGUUCGGAAUCACUGGGCGUAAAGCGCGUGUAGGCGGCCGGGCAAGUCGGAUGUGAAAUCCCGAGGCUCAACCUCGGAACUGCAUUCGAAACUGCUUGGCUUGAGUCCCGGAGAGGAUGGCGGAAUUCCCGGUGUAGGGGUGAAAUCCGUAGAUAUCGGGAGGAACACCAGUGGCGAAGGCGGCCAUCUGGACGGUGACUGAAGCCGAGACGCGAAAGCGUGGGGAGCAAACAGG